rnacentral:rRNA from 1 species
GAGUUUGAUCCUGGCUCAGGAUGAACGCUAGCGGCAGGCCUAAUACAUGCAAGUCGAACGGUAAAUAUUUUAGCAAUAGAAUAUGAGAGUGACGUACGGGUGCGUAACACGUAUGCAACCUACCCUUUACAGGCGGAUAGCUCGGGGAAACUCGGAUUAAGCCGUCAUAAUAUGAUUGGAUGGCAUCAUUUGAUCAUUAAAACUGAGGUGGUAAAGGAUGGGCAUGCGUCUGAUUAGUUAGUUGGCGGUGUAACGGACCACCAAGACGAUGAUCAGUAGGGGAACUGAGAGGUUGAUCCCCCACACUGGCACUGAGAUACGGGCCAGACUCCUACGGGAGGCAGCAGUAGGGAAUAUUGGUCAAUGGAUGGAAGUCUGAACCAGCCAUGCCGCGUGCAGGAAGACGGCCUUCUGGGUUGUAAACUGCUUUUGCCAGGGGCUAAAAAGCUCAUGCGUGAGAAAUUGAAAGUACCUGGUGAAUAAGCCACGGCUAACUACGUGCCAGCAGCCGCGGUAAUACGUAGGUGGCAAGCGUUGUCCGGAUUUAUUGGGUUUAAAGGGUGCGUAGGCGGCUUUGUAAGUCAGUGGUGAAAUAUGGCAGCUCAACUGUCAGGGUGCCAUUGAUACUGCGGAGCUUGAGUACAGAUGAGGUAGGCGGAAUUGACGGUGUAGCGGUGAAAUGCUUAGAUAUCGUCAAGAACACCGAUAGCGAAGGCAGCUUACUAGGCUGUAACUGACGCUGAGGCACGAAAGUGUGGGGAUCAAACAGGAUUAGAUACCCUGGUAGUCCACACUGUAAA